GCUGGAGAGGUGGCAUGGGUGGUCGGGUAACAGGGAGAGGCACAGCACUGCGUGCACCCCCUUUCAGACAGCCCGGUGAGUCUCACCAGCCUUGCCGGGACUGGGCUCAGUGGCCCGGCCUCUGCUCCAGCUCUGAGAGUCAGAGAAGCAGUGUGGGUGGCAAAUGCAAGCGAACCACCAUCCUGCCCCUGCAUCCGCUACAACCUGGCUCUGGGUGUGGGCCCCCUAGAGCGCGCCCUUUCCUGGGCCUGGGGCUGCUGCAGCGCAGGGUAGAAGGCCCAGGUGGCCCGGGGGUUGGCGAUUCCAGCGAUUGCUAUGCAGAUAGGUGUGCGGAAUGGUAAAGGCAGAGAUCACCCUCAGGGCAUCAUCCUUCACGGGGUCACACAAGUCCAGCAACUGCAAAACAGGACACAAAGGAUCAGGUCAGAUGCCGGCUCACUCACAGUGGCUGGACGCCCACCCCCAGCACCCGGAUUUCCUGGGACCAGCAGGGCACUGAGAUAGUCUCUCCAUCCCUUGCACCAGCUGUCUGGGACUUGCCUUGACCAAUGAAGAGAAAGUGACGUGGUGUGAAUUCCUGUGGUUGGGCCUUCAGCAGUCUUGCAACAGUCACCUUGCUCUCCUAGAACCCUGAGGCCACUGACUGGGCAGAAGCCCGGUCAGCCUUUGGGAAGAUGAAAGGCCAUGUGGAGGAGGACCGAGGGGCCUCGCCAACCGCCAGGCCUACUGCCAGUAUGUGCAGGAAGUCAUGAUCUUGGACCCCCUAGUUCUAUUGAACUAACAUGAUCACAGCCAUAGUGUUAACUGCAGAACCUGGUCCUGCUCUGUUUCUAACAAGACCUGGAACCAACGUUUCAACCUCGGAUACACCACUCACAAGCAACACUUGUGAACACCACUCACAGGUAACACUUGUAAACCCUCAACUGCUACCUCUUGAACCCCCACCCUGAGUCCUGGAACAGGAGCGACAUCUGAGCCUUGUCUCUUGUCUCAGCUCCCAAAUAAAGCUCCUUUUUUCUCUCCAAA